rnacentral:rRNA from 1 species
CACGUAGGUGGGUCGUUAAGUCAGGGGUGAAAUCCCGGAGCUCAACUCCGGAACUGCCUUUGAUACUGGCGACCUUCGAGUCCGGGAGAGGUGAGUGGAAUUGCGAGUGUAGAGGUGAAAUUCGUAGAUAUUCGCAAGAACACCAGUGGCGAAGGCGGCUCACUGGCCCGGUACUGACACUGAGGUGCGAAAGCGUGGGGAGCAAACA